rnacentral:rRNA from 1 species
CAAAAACAUAGCCCUUGAGAAAAUCAAAGGUGUAACCUGCCCAAUGAUCUUUAAUUUAAAAAUAAUAAAAAUAUUUAAAAAAGAUUUAAAGGACGCGGUAACCUUGACUGUGAUAAUGUAGCAUAAUCACUCGCCAUUUAAUUGAUGGAUAGUAUGAAUGGUUAAACGAAUAUUACACUAUCUAAAAAAUAGAUCUCAUAAAAAUGAAAUAAUAGUUAAGAUGCUAUUUAAAAUUGUAAGACGAAAAGACCCUAUAGAGCUUAACUAUAAUCUCUUGAAAAAAAAUAAAAAUAUUUUUAAAAAGGAGAGAUUGGUAGUUUAGUUGGGGCGACUAUUUUUUAAAAAUAACAAAAAUAAGCAACAUUAAUAAAAAAAUUUACUGUAUAAUAAACAAAUUUAACAGUUACUAAAGUAGGCUAUAAUGACCCAUUAUUACUAUAUAAUAAGAAUAAUGAUUAAUGAAUAAAAGCUACCUUAGGGAUAACAGGAUAAUUUUAUCUAAGAGUUCUUAUCAAAGAUAAAGUUUGUCACCUCUAUGUUGAAUUAAGAUAUCCUAAUAGUGCAGAAGCUAUUAAAGGUAGGUCUGUUCGACCUUUAAAAUCUUACAUGAUUUGA